rnacentral:lncRNA from 1 species
AUCAAUAAGUGGAAUCUUGACAAAUCGGGUUAGCAUUCUCUCAUCAACAUGACCGACAAUGGUGAAAUGUUUUUAUUGGUCCAAUGGUAGGCUGAAGUCAGUAAGCUCAUACGGGCAUUGGAAUUCAGCUAAUCAAGUAAAUAUGCAAGCGUAGGCCAAUUCUUGGAGUUGAACUAUUGUCCACCGUCACCCUCCACUUUCUUGAUUCAUGGAAUCUUGAAUCUUCCUACUCCCUGAUACACCCCAACCAAAAAAAAAGAGCGAGCACCACGCACCAAACCCUUAAAAUAAUAUAAAAAAAAGAGCAUUAUGCCAGGCUUCUCCAUCAUGUACAGUAUCAACUAUACACGAAGAAACGCGAUGACUGGAAUUUUAUGCAUAUUAUUUUAACUUAUUGAUCGCUUACCAGAUUGAUCGUCUCCUGGCUCAAAACUCAUUCCAUCUCUCCGAUUUGAAGCUCAGC